AUUGAACGCGGGCGGCAUGCUUUACACAUGCAAGUCGAACGGCAGCACGGGGGCAACCCUGGUGGCGAGUGGCGAACGGGUGAGUAACACAUCGGAACGUGCCCGGUUGUGGGGGAUAACCUAUCGAAAGGUAGGCUAAUACCGCAUGAGCUCGGCAAGAGGAAAGCGGGGGACUCAGCGAUGGGCCUCGCGCGACUGGAGCGGCCGAUGUCCGAUUAGCUAGUUGGGGGGUAAAGGCUUACCAAGGCGACGAUCGGUAGCUGGUCUGAGAGGAUGAUCAGCCACACUGGGACUGAGACACGGCCCAGACUCCUACGGGAGGCAGCAGUGGGGAAUUUUGGACAAUGGGGGCAACCCUGAUCCAGCCAUGCCGCGUGAGUGAAGAAGGCCU
rnacentral:rRNA from 1 species